UUGCCUAUGACGAAACCCUAGAAAUAUUACACCAUCUUUCGGGGCUGAACAGCCUUCUUUCGAGGGCUCUGAUGUAUUUCUGCAAUUCUGAGGCGA